UACAGAGGGUGCAAGCGUUAAUCGGAAUUACUGGGCGUAAAGCGUGCGUAGACGGUUAUUUAAGUCAGGUGUGAAAGCCCCGGGCUCAACCUGGGAAUUGCAUUUGAGACUGAAUAGCUAGGGUGCGGAAGAGGGAAGCGGAAUUUCCGGUGUAGCGGUGAAAUGCGUAGAUACCGGAAGGAACACCAGUGGCGAAAGCGGCUUCCUGGUCCAGCACCGACGUUCAGGCACGAAAGCGUGGGGAGCAAACAGG
rnacentral:rRNA from 1 species